rnacentral:rRNA from 1 species
UACGGGAGGCAGCAGUGGGGAAUUUUCCGCAAUGGGCGAAAGCCUGACGGAGCAAUACCGCGUGAGGGAGGAAGGCUCUUGGGUUGUAAACCUCUUUUCUCAGGGAAGAAGCUCUGACGGUACCUGAGGAAUCAGCAUCGGCUAACUCCGUGCCAGCAGCCGCGGUAAUACGGAGGAUGCAAGCGUUAUCCGGAAUGAUUGGGCGUAAAGCGUCCGCAGGUGGCGAUUCAAGUCUGCUGUCAAAGGUCGGGGCUCAACCCUGAACAGGCGGUGGAAACUGAACAGCUAGAGUGCGGUAGGGGUAGAGGGAAUUCCCGGUGUAGCGGUGAAAUGCGUAGAGAUCGGGAAGAACACCAGUGGCGAAAGCGCUCUACUAGGCCUGCACUGACACUCAGGGACGAAAGCUAGGGGAGCGAAUGGGAUUAGAUACCCCAGUAGUCCUAGCCNGUAAACGAUGGAUACUAGGCGUGGCUUGUAUCGACCCGAGCCGUGCCGGAGCUAACGCGUUAAGUAUCCCGCCUGGGGAGUACGCGCGCAAGCGUGAAACUCAAAGAAAUUGACGG